UUGCGCAGGCACUUUGGUGACUCUAGAUAACCUCGGGCCGAUCGCACGUCCCAGUGACGGCGACGACGCAUUCGGAUGUCUGCCCUAUCAACUUUCUAUGGUAUUUUCUGCGCCUACCAUGGUGACCACGGGUAACAGGGAAUCAGGGUUCGAUUCUGGAGAAGGAGCCUGAGAAAUGGCUACCACAUCCAAGGAAGACAGCAGGCGCGCAAAUUACCCACUCCCAACGCGGGGAGGUAGUGACGAAA